GAUAUUGAACAAAACCGGCCCCAGGACCGACCCUUGGGGCACUCCGCUUGAUACCGGCUGCCAAGUAGGUUCCUCAUAGGUGAUUCAAAUAGACUACUACAACCAUAUUGUCCAAUCCCAUCAGGACAUGUUGCCUUGUAGAUUGCCUCAAAGAACGUCUGACUGCCCAGAGUUAUAAUAUAAUAUAAUAUGAAACAUCCUUAUUCGUGGGGCCAGGCCCCUGAAAUAAUCUUAUGGGAGAGUUAGUACUCCAUCUCCUCAAGUUGGCACUGGAAUUGAUGGGAAGUUUCAGGGAAAAGGAAAAUUGUGCAGGAGGGACUCUUUUAGGAAAUUAGAACUGUCCAGUCACCAGGUCAGAGAUAUCUUCACUGACAUGGGGACCUUCAAUUUGAUUUCAUUGGUGGUUUGAAGCAACAAGAGGAGGAACUGUUGCAGGAGCGGAGAGCCACUGACACCAGGACAUCAGGUCUUGGCAGCACACCAUGGUCUCCAGAAAGCACAUGUAAUUCCUGAUAGAUGUGUGUCUCAUAUGCUGACAGGCCCAGAUCUGCAUCUUCAGCUUUUUAAUCCCUCCCGGAGAUGGCAGCGCUUUUCUGUUAUUUGUGGUUAUCACUGCUCGAGAUGGGUGAACCUUUGGGAAAGGAUCAAGAAGCUCUUGUUCUGAUUCAUUAUGAGCCCCAAAGCUUCAAAUGGACAAAAAGAUUUAUUUAAUACCUCAUUGGCCUCCUGGAGGAACUGGACUCACAUGAGCAAGUCAACCCAGAUAAGGGAUUAUGCAGUUGACAUUACUGCCAUCAUCCUGAAGAAGGUCCAAGAGGCAGAGGCAUGCCCAAUGGUAAUGCAAUAUGAUUCACUGAAGCAUGCUGUCUGAUUAAGAACCUGAAGAAAUUCGGAUGAUCUGGAGCCACGGUGAUGCGUAGAUGCACUCCCUUGAAGUCAAUGGAUGCCAAGAAUUCCUCCUCAUUGGUCACUGCCAGGAUGAAUCACAAAUUCUAUAUUAAGCCAUUAAUUGGUUAUGAAUUUGUUAAACCAUAUCAAAUCUAGAAUAACCACAAAUAAUUGGACCUCUUGUGGGCUACAAAAUAUCUUGAGUAGAUCACUUUGCCCAAUAGGUCUAGGGAGAAAGGUGUGAUGGACUCAGUCUAGAGAAGAUGGGAGAAGGUUUCAGCUACUUCAGCUCUCGUCUAGUCUGAUGAAAGUAGAGGAUAUCUAUUAAGUAGUGCUCCUGAACUACUCAAAGGAUCUAUGCAUCCAGUCUGAUGCUGGAGCAGACAUGCAGGAAAUCCUUCCUCCUAGGAUCUGCCAUUCUGAGGCAAGAGAAAAAUAAUAGGUUCUAAGUAUGUCCUCCUUACCCAAAGAGUCCAGUUUGAAGUCUGUUUUUCAGAAGGACCACUUGUUGGCACUUGUCACUGUUGGACAUGUGGUAAACUGGAGAACACUGGGGAAGAAACGUCUUCUAUGAGACAAGGAAGGAGAGAAAUGGAGUCUUGCUCAAGUGGCUUGAUAGAGUAGGGAGAGAGGUUUCUUUUUCUGAAAACUGUUGAGAGUGAAAUCAAGGAGUCUUGGAAUGGACCCUUAAGAGCCAAGAGUCUGAGCUGUGAGGACAUGUCCUCUCUCAAAGGAAGAACCCAGAAAACUGGGUGAGGUAGCACUGAGGAAGUCAGGAUGCUGGCUCUUACCUGAAUGGAGUCUUGGGUCAUGUUGUUUGCCACUAGAAGACACCUGGAGAGGUUCCUAUGGGCCAACUUUUGGGAGAUGAUGGAGAGAUCCCAGUCAGAUUGAAUUUGUUAAACUGAGCUCAGAGAUUCUUGUCCGACGUAGUCUCAAGAAAGUCUCUGAAGAGAACUGAGGAGGUGGCUGUACAUGCAGAAGAUCAGGGCCCUCACUUAGGCUAUUUUAUGGGCAUGGGUAUUGAAUAAGAAGGGCAUUCCCACAAAGAUGAAGCAACAAGGCUGGAUAGUCCUCAUUAAACUAAGCUCUGGGCCCCCACUGAAUGGAAAGAAGGCAAAAGAAGAAACAAACAUCCCUUUCCUGCAUCUUUACUUGGAAUUCAUCCUCCUCACUGUCCCCUUGCUGGCUUCACUGAGGCAGUUAUUAGUCCUACUGGGCUGGGAAAAAUGGAGUAUUCAUCUAGUUCCCACCUGGUAGCAUUCCCAUUGUUGACUACUGCAAGUCAACAUGGGCAUGGUCACAAUAUGCAGACUGGCCACACUAUGGACUGGUGCAGUAUGCCGGAGCAGGAGAAGCAGGCAGAACUUUCUUCUUUUGCCUGCUUUUUCUGCUUCUGCUGUGUGAUGAAUCAUAGCCUGGCUGAGGUAAGGUGGAGCACCUCUGCUGUUGUCCUGGCAGGAAAAACUGGGGACUCGAGCCAGGAGAAGGAGGAUUAGAUGCCAAAAUCCUCAAGCAGCACUCCUUGUCUGUCUGACAAAAGGAGGAACAGCCAAUGUCUACAAGGGCAGAAGUCACAUCUCAGAAAAUUCAUCAUAAAGUAUAAUAUAGAUAAUACAGUAGAAAGCUGAUUUGUUGACUUAUUUUUGUUAAAUGCAAUUGCUGGUGGUAAGUAGGAUGAAAUUUGCCCAUUUUUUUGGGUAUAAGUUAAGAUUUCAUUUAAAUAAAAAAAAGUUAAGUUUCUAAUUUUUCUGAAGGUGACCAGAUGGCGCACAGUUGUCCUCUGUCAACAGCUAUAAACAACAGAGAUAUAAACUGCCUGUAUUCAUCUCAACAGAGUGCUAACUCUAAAAUCUGCCACUAUUUGCAUUAGUUCUACUUCUCAAAAUAGGGGUUCUGGAAGGUGAUAAUAUCCACAUCCUUCCAAAACCUUUGUGUAUUUUGAGAAUUGUCAGCAAGUAUGAGAAAUUUUUUGGCUACGGACUUACUGAUUAUUUGUCAAACGUUGAUUUUUUAAACACACAGUUAUAAAAAUAUUCUUGAAUGAAACUACAUUUAGUAAAUUUCUACUGCAGUCUACACAUGAUGCAAAUGAGUCACUUAUAAAGUCAUCUCAAAAUGUCCAUUGUAUAUUACUAAAAUGAUGGUGCAAUUGUAUUAUUUACAGGAUGAUUCAUAAUCACUUUUCGCUGAUGCAAGAACAAUAAAUAACUGCUUCUGCUGAUCUUGGGCAGCAAAAAGUCCAUCCACAGACAGUUCCCUGGGAUCCAUAGGGCCUGACUCAACUCCCAUGAAGUCUUUCUAUUUACAUUAGUGGAAGUUGAUUGAGUCCUCAAUGACCAAAAUGUGAUCAAGAUGUCAGUUUAAAGGCUUCCCUGAAAUACAGCAACAUUUGAAGUGGGAGACAAGACGAGAGAGAGAUGGCAGACUUCCAGCGUGGCUUCAAACUUGAUGGCGCCUUUUUCAUACUAAGAGCUGGACCAGCCCAUAAAGCUUAUGAAAACAGGAAAGGCUCCAGGAUUGUAUCCCUAUGGAGUUCCUUACUUUACCUAGUCCGAAAAGCUGGCUGCUUCGGUUCAAUCGAUGUUUCCAAUAAAAUUGCCUCCCAAAAAACGGGAGCGGGGCAAAGGUCAUAGCCAUUCCGAAACCAAGAAAGCCACUGAAAGCUCUCAAGAGCUACUGACCAACCUCUUUCAUUUGUGUCACAUAUGCGCUUAUGGAAAGACUGAUUCUGAUGUGCAUCAAUGAGGUUAUCGAACCACAACUGCCCUUUGUUUAAGCUGGCUUUAGAUGAGAAUGGUGUACCCGAGAUCAAGUUAUUUGGCUAACACAAGACAUCAAAGAUGCCUUUGAGAAGGGCAAGAAAGUUGGCACUGUAUUGGUUGAUCUGUUAAACUGCAUAUGAUAAUGUCUGGCAAGAGGGGCUGACCACCAAGUUGUUGCAGGCUAUUCCUGUAAGCCCAAGGUGUAGUUCUUCAUGAAAAUUAUAAUGAAUUGGAGUGUCAUCUUACAAGAUGGAGGCCAAGUCAGCUGGCUCAACUGUUUCCGUAAUGGACUCCUGCAAGGAUCCAUUCUAGCUCCUAUGGGCAGUGGGUAUAAUACCUGGGCCACGGUGGCCCCGCCCACCCUUUCCUGAAGGCCCCCACCGCCUGCUGUUGCCUGCCUGCCUGCCAUGUCACCUCCACUCCCCCCCAUCAAAGGUCCCUGCUGC